rnacentral:lncRNA from 1 species
GGUGCAGAUCGUGUGGAGGCAGAGAGCAGCGGCGUCGCGUUCGCGCUCCUUCUUUUUUUGGACCGGUGAUUUUGCCUGGGGAGAAGGCUCGCCGAAAGUUGUUGUGGCUGGGGAUGUUUGCUGGCGCUGCAUUGUUCGGCCGGAAGGUGAGCAGAGGCGGCGCCGCUCUAAGGGAAUGAAACCCUAGGCGGCGCGAGGGGCUGAGUUUUGGGAGGUUCCGUGGUGGUGGUUGUCACGGCUAGCCUCGGUGGUGGAGGGCUCUACGGUGGCUGUAGGGAUUGGGUGGAGCGCUGUGGCGAGAGAGAGACAGAGAGAGAGACAGAGAUGGCGGAGGCGACGAGGCCGGGGACUGCGGCGCUUCGUGGCGGAGGGCGAAGCAGGAGAUGGCGAAGGCGACGAGGCCGAGG